UGGCGAACGGGUGAGUAACGCGUGGGGAACCUGCCUCAAAGAGGGGGACAACAGUUGGAAACGACUGCUAAUACCGCAUAAGCCCACGACCCGGCAUCGGGAAGAGGGAAAAGGAGCAAUCCGCUUUGAGAUGGCCUCGCGUCCGAUUAGCUAGUUGGUGAGGUAACGGCCCACCAAGGCAACGAUCGGUAGCCGGACUGAGAGGUUGAACGGCCACAUUGGGACUGAGACACGGCCCAG
rnacentral:rRNA from 1 species